rnacentral:snoRNA from 7 species
GUGCGAUGAUGCAUUUUAUUCAACACAUCAUUCUGAAAAUAGAUGUGUAGAGAAAUGAUAACUGAGCACA